GAUGAACGCUAGCGGCAGGCCUAAUACAUGCAAGUCGUACGGUGUCUUCGGACAUAGUGGCGCACGGGUGCGUAACGCGUAUGCAACCUACCUUACAUUGGGGGAUAGCCUUUCGAAAGGGAGAUUAAUACCGCAUAAGACAGUAGCUGGGCAUCCAGCAGCUGUUAAAGAUUUAUCGAUGUAAGCUGGGCAUGCGUCCAAUUAGCUAGUUGGUGAGGUAACGGCUCACCAAGGCAAUGAUUGGUAGGGGAACUGAGAGGUCAAUCCCCCACACUGGCACUGAGAUACGGGCCAGACUCCUACGGGAGGCAGCAGUAGGGAAUAUUGGGCAAUGGACGCAAGUCUGACCCAGCCAUGCCGCGUGCAGGAUGAAGGCGUUAUGCGUUGUAAACUGCUUUUAUACAGGAAGAAACGACUCUUGCGAGAGGCAUUGACGGUACUGUAUGAAUAAGCACCGGCUAACUCCGUGCCAGCCGCCGCAGUAACAC
rnacentral:rRNA from 1 species